rnacentral:lncRNA from 1 species
UCAAAUUAAAUUGCGGGCAGUGACUACUCUUAAACUAUAAAAUCAUAAUAUGAUGGCUUCUAGGUAUUGUAAGAUAUCAAUUCUUGUCAUAUCUUUUUGUUAGUUCCUCUGUUUCUCCAGUGUUAUUGUCAAAAACGGGCAAUAUUCGUCAAGCCAAUCAAACAUUUCGGCCUGACAAAAAGUUGCAGUAGUUGAAAAUGAUUAGAGCUCAUCUCAUGAAAAUUAAUAAUCCCUCUACCAAGACAAUUCAAUCAUUUUUUCUAACCUUCAAAUAGUAAAAGUUUUAGUUUUUUCUAUUUUCCAUGUUUUUGUUCUGUUUCUCUUACUGGGUCUAAUGUUGAUUUACAAAUUAUUGCAG